rnacentral:rRNA from 1 species
UACGGAGGGUGCGAGCGUUGUCCGGAAUCACUGGGCGUAAAGGGCGCGUAGGCGGCAGGCCAAGCGUGCGGUGAAAGUCCGGGGCUCAACCCCGGAUCUGCCGUGCGGACUGGUUUGCUAGAGCACUGUAGAGGCGAGUGGAAUUCCGGGUGUAGCGGUGGAAUGCGUAGAGAUCCGGAAGAACACCGGUGGCGAAGGCGCACAUCUGGCCCGAUACUGACGCUGAAGCGCGAAGGCUAGGGGAGCAAACGGG